rnacentral:rRNA from 1 species
GACGAACUUUGGCGGCGUGCUUAACACAUGCAAGUCGAACGGAAAGGCCCUGCUUUUGUGGGGUGCUCGAGUGGCGAACGGGUGAGUAACACGUGAGUAACCUGCCCUUGACUUUGGGAUAACUUCAGGAAACUGGGGCUAAUACCGGAUAGGAGCUCCUGCUGCAUGGUGGGGGUUGGAAAGUUUCGGCGGUUGGGGAUGGACUCGCGGCUUAUCAGCUUGUUGGUGGGGUAGUGGCUUACCAAGGCUUUGACGGGUAGCCGGCCUGAGAGGGUGACCGGCCACAUUGGGACUGAGAUACGGCCCAGACUCCUACGGGAGGCAGCAGUGGGGAAUAUUGCACAAUGGGCGGAAGCCUGAUGCAGCAACGCCGCGUGCGGGAUGACGGCCUUCGGGUUGUAAACCGCUUUCGCCUGUGACGAAGCGUGAGUGACGAUAAUGGGUAAAGAAGCACCGGCUAACUACGUGCCAGCAGCCGCGGUGAUACGUAGGGUGCGAGCGUUGUCCGGAUUUAUUGGGCGUAAAGGGCUCGUAGGUGGUUGAUCGCGUCGGAAGUGUAAUCUUGGGGCUUAACCCUGAGCGUGCUUUCGAUACGGGUUGACUUGAGGAAGGUAGGGGAGAAUGGAAUUCCUGGUGGAGCGGUGGAAUGCGCAGAUAUCAGGAGGAACACCAGUGGCGAAGGCGGUUCUCUGGGCCUUUCCUGACGCUGAGGAGCGAAAGCGUGGGGAGCGAACAGGCUUAGAUACCCUGGUAGUCCACGCUGUAAACGGUGGGUACUAGGUGUGGGGUCCACUCCACGGGUUCCGUGCCGUAGCUAACGCUUUAAGUACCCCGCCUGGGGAGUACGGCCGCAAGGCUAAAACUCAAAGGAAUUGACGGGGCCCCGCACAAGCGGCGGAGCAUGCGGAUUAAUUCGAUGCAACGCGUAGAACCUUACCUGGGUUUGACAUGGAUCGGGAGUGCUCAGAGAUGGGUGUGCCUCUUUUGGGGUCGGUUCACAGGUGGUGCAUGCCUGUCGUCAGCUCGUGUCGUGAGAUGUUGGGUUAAGUCCCGCAACGAGCGCAACCCUUGUUCACUGUUGCCAGCACGUUAUGGUGGGGACUCAGUGGAGACCGCCGGGGUCAACUCGGAGGAAGGUGGGGAUGACGUCAAGUCCUCAUGCCCCUUAUGUCCAGGGCUUCACGCAUGCUACAAUGGCUGGUACAGAGAGUGGCGAGCCUGUGAGGGUGAGCGAAUCUCGGAAAGCCGGUCUCAGUUCGGAUUGGGGUCUGCAACUCGACCUCAUGAAGUCGGAGUCGCUAGUAAUCGCAAAAGAGCAACGNUGCGGUGAAUACGUUCCCGGGGC